UACGGAGGGUGCGAGCGUUGUCCGGAAUCACUGGGCGUAAAGGGCGCGUAGGCGGCCUGAUAAGUAGGGGGUGAAAUCUUGCGGCUUAACCGCAAGGCUGCCUUCUAAACUGUCAGGCUAGAGCACAGUAGAGGCAGGUGGAAUUCCCGGUGUAGCGGUGAAAUGCGCAGAUAUCAGGAGGAACACCAAUAGCGAAGGCAGCUCGCUGGGACGGUACUGACGCUGAGGCGCGAAAGCGUGGGGAGCAAACAGG
rnacentral:rRNA from 1 species